rnacentral:rRNA from 1 species
UACAGAGGGUGCGAGCGUUAAUCGGAAUUACUGGGCGUAAAGCGCACGUAGGUGGCGACGUAAGUCGGGUGUGAAAGCCCCGGGCUCAACCUGGGAAUUGCAUUCGAGACUGUGUUGCUGGAGUACGGAAGAGGAGGGCGGAAUUCCCGGUGUAGCGGUGAAAUGCGUAGAUAUCGGGAGGAACAUCUGUGGCGAAGGCGACUGCCUGGACCAGCACUGACACUGAGGCACGAAAGCGUGGGGAGCAAACAGG